CGACGGGGCGCACUGCCCGGAAAGACAGACGGGGGCGACCCCCCCACCCCUCCCGGGCGGCGCAGACCCCAGGUUCAGGCGGGUUCAGGCAAGGGUUAGGCCGGCCUCCGCCUGCGCCUGUUGAGCGCCUGCUGGAUACCAGCCCUUGCUGAGCACGGGACGUGCAGCUCUGCCAGGGAGGGCAAAGAUGCAGACGGGUCUCGGCAGGGAGCCCCGAGGGACGCCCAGGAGGCUGCGGGAGCAAAGGGGGUGCCUGGGCAGCCAGGAGGGCUCCCUGGAGGAGGGGGUCAUUCCACUGCAUUUAUUAAGCAACUACUGUGCGCCAGGCCCCAAGGUGGAGAACAGGGGCCUGGGGCGAGCAGGGGGCUCUGGGCACCGACCCCCAGGCACCUCUUCACUCCACAGCCGCCACUUGCCUGGUGCCCGGCGCACCCCGAGGACAGAG